UCCUCUUCUUCUUCUGUUUCUUCUCGUCCUCUUCAUCCUUCUCACUGCUCCAAACACCAAUCCAAACACCCAACCUUCCAAGUUCAUAUCGUCACUCCGGCCACGUCCACCUCCAGCAGCCACAGCCUCGCCGGCCGCUUCCCCUCAACCCAGGAAGCUGCCCAACUCCAACCAGCCAAACCUAUUUCAACCUUCGUCCAAGUUUCC
rnacentral:lncRNA from 1 species